UACGGAGGAUCCAAGCGUUAUCCGGAAUCAUUGGGUUUAAAGGGUCCGUAGGCGGUUUAAUAAGUCAGUGGUGAAAGCCCAUCGCUCAACGGUGGAACGGCCAUUGAUACUGUUAAACUUGAAUUAUUAGGAAGUAACUAGAAUAUGUAGUGUAGCGGUGAAAUGCUUAGAGAUUACAUGGAAUACCAAUUGCGAAGGCAGGUUACUACUAAUGGAUUGACGCCGAUGGACGAAAGCGUGGGUAGCGAACAGG
rnacentral:rRNA from 1 species